rnacentral:rRNA from 1 species
UACGGGGGGGGGCAAGCGUUGUUCGGAAUUACUGGGCGUAAAGGGCUCGUAGGUGGCCAACUAAGUCAGACGUGAAAUCCCUCGGCUUAACCGGGGAACUGCGUCUGAUACUGGAUGGCUUGAGUUUGGGAGAGGGACACGGAAUUCCAGGUGUAGCGGUGAAAUGCGUAGAUAUCUGGAGGAACACCGGUGGCGAAGGCGGCGUCCUGGACCAACACUGACACUGAGGAGCGAAAGCCAGGGGAGCAAACGGG